rnacentral:ribozyme from 13 species
AGAAAGAAAAAGAGAGAGAAGAGAAAAAACCAAAUGUGUUAUUUGUUACUCUCCCAGGCUUUCUAGAGCACAUACAAAACGCUCUCUCCCUCUCUCUCAUUUCCUUCUCUCUUGCUUUGGUCUUCUUAAAGAGAGAGAGCGGGGAGAGAGGAAAGAGAGAGGAAAGAAAAGGAAAGGAAGGAGAAGGAA